AUGCUGUGGGGUUAAUCCAGGAUUUUGUAGUUAUGGUUGACAUGGCAACUGUUGACAGGGGACUGCUUGACAAAGAUCUAUGAAGCUACUAAAUUCUAUAAUACUUAAAUGGUAAGAAGACAAAUUAUUUAGGGCUGGUAUGUACUUAUUUUCCCUUGGGAAAAUUGGUAUAAUAAAUAAAGACAGCUACUAGGUCUAUCCCCAAAUGUCCUUGGAGACAUUUCAUUAUCUUUCCCCCUUCCCUGCAUUACAAUUUGUUGUUUCUAUCUCAAAUUUUCUUAUUUGCACACUCAUUUGUUGAUUUUCCCUCUCCUGAUCUCCAUAGGAACAUAAGUGUUAAAAUUUGACCAGCCUUUACUGUCUUGCUUGAAACUGUAUUCCUGUCAGAAGAUGAUGACUGGGGUAACAUAAUGUUAACUGAUGUCAUUACUCUAAUGUCAUCUUCGAUCAUUUGGUUAAGGAAUACCGUGAAAUUCAAGAACAUUUCCUGGACAAAUUAAGGACAUAAAACUUAUGAGAUUUGAAUAAGGUCUCCUGCAGUAAGGGAAAUAAAAGAAGAAAUAAACUAUUGGGAC